rnacentral:rRNA from 1 species
GACGAACGCUGGCGGCGUGCUUAACACAUGCAAGUCGAACGGAAAGGCCCGCUUGCGGGUACUCGAGUGGCGAACGGGUGAGUAACACGUGGGCAACCUGCCCUCAGCUUUGGGAUAACUCCCGGAAACGGGUGCUAAUACCGGAUAUUGACAUUUCCUCGCAUGGGGGUUUGUUGAAAGUUUUUUCGGCUGGGGAUGGGCCCGCGGCCUAUCAGCUUGUUGGUGGGGUGAUGGCCUACCAAGGUGACGACGGGUAGCCGGCCUGAGAGGGCGAUCGGCCACACUGGAACUGAGACACGGUCCAGACUCCUACGGGAGGCAGCAGUGGGGAAUAUUGCGCAAUGGGCGGAAGCCUGACGCAGCGACGCCGCGUGAGGGAUGAAGGUCUUCGGAUUGUAAACCUCUUUCAGUAGGGACGAAUUUGACGGUACCUGCAGAAGAAGCACCGGCCAACUACGUGCCAGCAGCCGCGGUAAUACGUAGGGUGCGAGCGUUGUCCGGAAUUAUUGGGCGUAAAGAGCUCGUAGGCGGUUCGUCGCGUCGAAUGUGAAAUCCCGGGGCUCAACUCCGGGUCUGCAUUCGAUACGGGCGGACUAGAGUUCGGUAGGGGAGACUGGAAUUCCUGGUGUAGCGGUGAAAUGCGCAGAUAUCAGGAGGAACACCGGUGGCGAAGGCGGGUCUCUGGGCCGAUACUGACGCUGAGGAGCGAAAGCGUGGGGAGCGAACAGGAUUAGAUACCCUGGUAGUCCACGCCGUAAACGGUGGGCGCUAGGUGUGGGGGACUUCCACGUCUUCUGUGCCGCAGCUAACGCAUUAAGCGCCCCGCCUGGGGAGUACGGCCGCAAGGCUAAAACUCAAAGGAAUUGGCGGGGGCCCGCACAAGCGGCGGAGCAUGCUGAUUAAUUCGAUGCAACGCGAAGAACCUUACCAAGGCUUGACAUACAUCGGAAACUUCCAGAAAUGGUUGCCCCGCAAGGUCGGUGUACAGGUGGUGCAUGGUUGUCGUCAGCUCGUGUCGUGAGAUGUUGGGUUAAGUCCCGCAACGAGCGCAACCCUCGUCUUAUGUUGCCAGCACGUUAUGGUGGGGACUCAUAAGAGACUGCCGGGGUCAACUCGGAGGAAGGUGGGGAUGAGGUCAAAUCAUCAUGCCCCUUAUGUCUUGGGCUUCAAGCAUGCUACAAUGGCCGGUACAAAGGGCUGCGAUACCGCGAGGUGGAGCGAAUCCCAAAAAGCCGGUCUCAGUUCGGAUUGGGGUCUGCAACUCGACCCCAUGAAGUCGGAGUCGCUAGUAAUCGCAGAUCAGCAACGCUGCGGUGAAUACGUUCCCGGGCCU